CAGCUGCUUCUUUGGCUCUGCACUGACUCCACUGCUUCUUCCUGCUUCUUGGAAGAGGUUUCCCACUUAUAUGGAUAUGAAAAAGUCAAAGGUAGAACCAUGGUAAUGCCAUUCAGAGCCCUCAAAUAUAGCACCACACUAGCAACAAUUUUGGCAAAAGGGAGAUCACUUAUUCAGAUCUUGAUCCCAAAGGAGGAGAUAGCAGUUUUCCUGGUGGCUUCUGAAGAACAUGAUCAGCAGGGAUUCUGGUUGUCUCCGCUGAACCAGCCGCCGCGGCCCCGGGGGAUAGAGUCACUGAUUGGCAAAGUUGGUAUCUGAGGACCACACCUGAUGGAGUGCGGGAGGGCCGGUUCCGCUGAAAUGCAGGGCAGGAGAAGUAGGGUUCUCCAAACAAAGAAGAAAUGCCAGCAGUCACGUCCAAGCAGAGUCCUGGAAGUGGAGACACUGGGCCAAAGCAUGUGCACACCCUUAUGAGUACAGUCACACAAACUGCCCCAGGGUCAACUAUAUCAAGGUUUAAGAGGAUGUCUUUACAAGGGAUUUCAUUGGUUGAUUUGCAACUAUGCCCCCCACCCAGUGCUUCCCAGAGCUGCUCAACUUUGAAUCCUUUUAACAACAUGGUAUGAA